GACGAACGCUGGCGGCGUGCUUAACACAUGCAAGUCGAACGGAAAGGCCCUGCCUUUGUGGGGUGCUCGAGUGGCGAACGGGUGCGUAACACGUGAGUAACCUGCCCUUGACUUUGGGAUAACUUCAGGAAACUGGGGCUAAUACCGGAUAGGAGCUCCUGCUGCAUGGUGGGGGUUGGAAAGUUUCGGCGGUUGGGGAUGGACUCGCGGCUUAUCAGCUUGUUGGUGGGGUAGUGGCUUACCAAGGCUUUGACGGGUAGCCGGCCUGAGAGGGUGACCGGCCACAUUGGGACUGAGAUCCGGCCCAGACUGCUACGGGAGGCAGCAGUGGGGAAUAUUGCACAAUGGGCGGAAGCCUGAUGCAGCAACGCCGCGUGCGGGAUGACGGCCUUCGGGUUGUAAACCGCUUUCGCCUGUGACGAAGCGUGAGUGACGGUAAUGGGUAAAGAAGCACCGGCUAACUACGUG
rnacentral:rRNA from 1 species